rnacentral:rRNA from 1 species
UACGUAGGUGGCAAGCGUUAUCCGGAUUUAUUGGGCGUAAAGCGAGCGCAGGCGGUUUGAUAAGUCUGAUGUGAAAGCCUUUGGCUUAACCAAAGAAGUGCAUCGGAAACUGUCAGACUUGAGUGCAGAAGAGGACAGUGGAACUCCAUGUGUAGCGGUGGAAUGCGUAGAUAUAUGGAAGAACACCAGUGGCGAAGGCGGCUAUCUGGUCUGCAACUGACGCUGAGGCUCGAAAGCAUGGGUAGCGAACAGG